rnacentral:misc_RNA from 1 species
GAACGCAUCUUGCGCCCCGUGGCAUUCCGCGGGGCAUGUCUGUUUGAGUGUCGUUUGACCUCUCAACCGCUUUGGUAUUCGAUUACAAAAGUCGGCUUGGAACUUGGGUGCCUCUGGCGAAACGCAAAGGGCUUCCGCCCUGUCGCCCACCCCAAAGUCAGUUGGGCCAACCGCGCGGAUGAGCGGACGGUUUGACCACAGUGUUGUAAGGUUCGCCUCACUGUCGGGACGUCCAUUUCCGUUAGCACGAAGGCAUUUGAAACACGAUACUAUUGAUUUUGACCUCAAAUCAGACAGGAUUACCCGCUGAACUUAAG